CCUCCAUGGAAUGAGUUUGACACAUUCUUAACGCCAUGAAAAACGAUAAAACAGCCCUUUACUAAUCGUGACUUGUCAAUAUUCUAGGACCUGAAUGCUUGAUGCUUUGAAUAAAUGUGCGACUUUACCUGCCAGAAUAAAUCAUCCCUGAUGACCACAGAAAGUUGUACAAUUGCCAACAGGAAACUAGUUAACCUUUCACCAUUGAGGAUAAGCAUUGACUCCGGUGGAGUGGUCUGCAUGUCAUUCCAGUAACGCUGUGGUGAACUCAAACGGAGAGAGUGGAGGGGAGGGGAGGGCCAGUCUGCUGCUUUCUCCCUCUGGAGAAGAGUUCUCCGUAGGCUUCACCUGCACGUUUAGUCACAACGCCACAGGCCUCGGAGCCAAGAGCCAGUCACUGAACACACAAGACAACCAAACCUGUAUUUCAAAGACUCCUUCUCAAAGAAGUAACACGUGCUGAGCAGCCCAAGAGUGGUCCAGCACUAUGUCUCCUGUGUUCCUUUGGUGUGGUGCUGCCCUUGCUCUCUGGCCCUUCUCCUCUGGAGCACCCAGCCCUCUGGCGAGAAGAACAGGGGAGACAGCAGAAGAGCUAGGCAGGGAGCAUGAGCCCCCACUUCGGUCAAUCCGCUCAUGCCUCUCUAUUCCUACUCCCCGCUUACAAGCAGAAACUCAAGAGGGAGCCACCAACACAGAGAAUAGUGAGGCGCUGGACAGAGGAGGCAAAAUCAGUGCUGCAUGACUGUUUUGAGAAUACUGAUUGAAAAGUUCAUCCACCCAGGACUCAUCCAUCAACAUUGAGGAUAAUAUACGGAACAAAAAUAUAAAUGCAACAUGUGAAGUGUUGGUCCAAUGUUUAAUGAGCUGAAAUAAAAGAUCCUAGAACUUGUCCAUAUGUAUAAAAGCUUAUUUCUCUCAAAUUUUGUUCACAAAUUGGUUUACAUCCCUGUUAGUGAG